GCCAGUGUGGCGUAGUGGUUUGCAUGUUGGAUUAUGACUCUGGAGACCAGGGUUUGAAUCCCAGCUCAGUCA